rnacentral:lncRNA from 1 species
GUUUCACAUGGAGACAUCAGCCGUCAAGAGUGAAAUUUUGACUCUGCAAAGCGACCUCCAAAUCAAUCGAGGGCAUCGGGAGAACACUUUUGGAACCUUAUCGUGGAGGAAAAAUAUCCAAACAUGAGAAAAGUUGGCAUGUACUUGACAGAAUGUUUUGGAUCUACCUACAUUUGCGAGUCAGCAUUUUCAGACAUGAUCAAAAUACCGGUCCACUCUAACAGAUGACGCUGGACACCUGUUUGAGGCAAGCAAUCAGUAGCUACAUCCCAGACCAUGCUGAGCUUGCUGACAGCAUGCAGUGCAAAUCAUCCAAUCAAUAAGACGGCCGUUACAGAACCACCCACCACAUGAAGACCAAGCAGCGGGGUAAGGAGCUGGAGAGGAGCUAUCUAGACUCAUGGACUUGGGAAGAGAUUCUG